AUGACCCAAGCCAAACUAGUUUACCGCCGGAGCACCCUUCGCUACGUUUACAGACCUGGGGCACCAAAAUCUCCCCACCGGCUCCCGUGCUCGGUCGCACAACCCGGGACAGCCCCCGCCGUCGCCCCCCGACACCGUAGGGCCUCGACGGCCGCUCCUCCACCCUCACCCCACCGCCCCGGCCUGCUGGGAGCCCUCCCGGGCCGGCCCCAAGCCCCGCUCCCCGAGCGGCCAUCCCGCAGGGCUGCCUGGCUCCCCUCCAGCGCCGGAGACCACGGCCCAGGGCGGGGCAAAGCAGGCACCUCAGCCCGCCCCGGGUCUCCCCUGCCCCCGGCCUGCCCUGACACGNNNNNNNNNNCACCAGGCCGCGGCCCGGCCCCUCCCCGGUACUCACGCUCUCCGGCCGGGCCCCCCGCAGCGGGCGGGCCUGGUGCGCGCCCCGGCCUAUAUACGGUGACCGGCAAGGGAGAGCGAUGCCCCCGGCCGGUGCCGCCCCUGCCCGGAAACUCCGAGUGGGGCCGACGCACCGGGAAAGCCCCGGCCGGGCGUACCCGGGGCCUGACGGCGGGGAGGCCGGGCGGGGCCUCUCCUCCUCCCGCCCCUCCCUCCCGCCGGGUCGGGGGCGAGCCGCCGGCCUGUGGGCUGUGCCCAGCCUCCCCAGCCAGCGGCUUUCUAUGGCGGCCGCAGGCGGGGCGAACCUUCCCUUGGGCUGCCCCUCAGCUGGGCUCCUUCGUUCCGCCCGCUCGUUCCCCGAGGGAGGGAGGAAGGGAGGGCGGCCCGGCCCCGCCGGCGCCAGCAGGGACGUUAGAGCAAGCUGGAAGCGCUCCCAGUUUGGGGACAUCCAGCAGGACUCCCCAGAUGAAGUUACAUUGAAUCUGUUGUAACAGAUUCAUGGACUUUUUACCCUACAUUCAUCCAAGGGCUGAAAUUCCUGAAGAAUUGUCAUCAGCGUCCUGAGUCUGGCUUCAACCUGGGACCAAGGUAACUCUCCAGACACAGAGAGAGAGGGGAACAGGGGUGCUCAGGUCCUACCCAGGCUAAAUGCAGGCUUUGGCUUUGGUUCUCAGGCUGUGGCACAUCACAGUGGGACUGAUCCUUAAUUCCAGCCCUUUCACCUGCUGCAGGAAGCUUCCAAGAUUACAGUCUUCACUUUAAAAACAGUAGGAUUGCUAAACUGAAACAAGGCACUCGAUUUUGCAGACUCUUGGCUCUGGAGAGGGGGGAAGAAGGCUGUAUUCAGAUAAAGCUGUCCUCAACCAAGAGAAACUGUUUACUUAAGGAGUCCCACCUAACCAUAGAGGUCUAAGUGCUACUAAAAGCGUGGUUUUUAUAUGUUUAUGACAAUACACCUAAGGGCAGUGUUGACUGAAACAACAAAGGCGAUUCAGCAAAUUUCUGGAGGCAGAAGGCUGUGACCCUGCAGCAUCAAUGCCAACAUGAAGGAGCACCGACAGCCCCUGGAGUACCUGAUGUAACCACGUGUCCAGAAUUCUUCUCCCAGAGGCCUGAUGAAUGGCAGUCUCCCCAUGCUGUCAUCCUUCUCUGAUGACUUCUCCAGUUUACUGUCUUCCAUUGCAUUAAAACAUCUGGCUUUAAUAGCACCUCUGUAAUACAUCCCUCAACAUCUGUGAAGAGGAGCAAGGGAUAAAAGGCACUGUUUCUUGCCUUUCCAUUGCUACUGCUCCUUUCUCCCAUAAAUUACAGAAAAAAUACCAUUACCUAGCUUCUCACUACCAUAAGUGACUGUCAGAAUGUCUCGGUAGGAUUUCAGCCUUACCAAUUACACACGCACAACCUUAACAACCUGACACACGCAAAUAUUAACCAUGGGUUUUAUCUGACAUGUCUUCUGGAGAUCCAAUCAGCUCAAAGUAGCAAAUUCAUCAUGUCAGUGCCACCGAGGAUAAGAUAAAACAUAAUCUGCAGUUUCAGUAAUACUGUUCUGAUCUUUAAUUCUAGCCAAGAAUAUAACCCGUAGUUGCUAUUUUGUCUCAGGGCCAAGUGUUCAGUUAGGUGAAGAAAAAGUACUGCCUAGAACAUUAAAUAUAUUACUUUGACUGUAUCUAUAGCCUGCCUGGUUGUUGAUAUAUAGAAAUAACAGAAACUUUCUUAAUUCCAAGCUUGUAGGAGUGAGAAACAUGGCAUUUCUCCAGGGCCUCACAAGGCUUCAUCAGGGGGCCACACAACUCGGCGAGUGAACUGAGGGAUGGAAGGAGAUGCCUGUACCCCCUCUUCCACAAAUCUAAACCUACCUAUAAAACCUGUAUUAAAAAAUAAAACCUGCUAUUGCUGCCUGGUGCCCA
rnacentral:lncRNA from 1 species